GAUGAAGAACGCAGCGAAAUGCGAUAAGUAAUGUGAAUUGCAGAAUUCAGUGAAUCAUCGAAUCUUUGAACGCACAUUGCGCCCGCCAGUAUUCUGGCGGCCAUGCCUGUCUGAGCGUCAUUUCAACCCUCAUGCCCCUAGGGCGUGGUGUUGGGGAUCGGCCAAAGCCCGCGAGGGACGGCCGGCCCCUAAAUCUAGUGGCGGACCCGUCGUGGCCUCCUCUGCGAAGUAGUGAUAUUCCGCAUCGGAGAGCGAUGAGCCCCUGCCGUUAAACCCCCAACUUUCCAAGGUUGACCUCAGAUCAGGUAGGAAUACCCGCUGAACUUAAGCAUAUCAAUAAGCGGAGGA
rnacentral:misc_RNA from 1 species